AGGGGCGGGAAGGUGGCGGCCGGUACAUGGCGGAGCGGUUCCCUCUGUACCCGGUGCGCAGCGCGGCCGCCGUGGCCAACCGCAAACGCGCGGCCGACUCCAGCGCGGCCGGGCCUGGGCCGGGGGCCGAACGGCCCAGCAGAAGACAGCUGUUCUGGGCGUCCUAAUCUGCAGAGCGGUGUAGACCUCUAGUCGCUCUCCUUACAGGAGUUAACAGUUGUAGUUAUCUCGAAGCAGGCUGCCUUCUGUGUCCCAGCUCCAGUUCCAGAAUUCCCAUGGAUAGUUGUGGCUUAGCUUGGGUGACUGGCAGUCCUUCCUGAGCUGUGCGCUGCCCCACCUACCUUCCCUACCUUCCCGUACGCAGCGGUCAUUCCACACGCACCCUGCCCCUCUACCUGGAUGCAGCCCCUACAGCCUGAGCUCAGUCGGCACCUUCCAAGGGCUAGGUGACUGUCUCGCCAGUAGCCACUGCUAUCAUUUAAGAUUUCCUGAUUUUAUUUAUUUACUUGAGAGAGAAUGAGAGAUGGAG